GCCGCCUCUGUCCUCGGGUCCGCUCCGCUCUGCUCCCUGGUGUGUUGAUUCUUCCCCCAGCUGCUGCCUAAUGGAGUCCAGGCGCUCGCGUCACAGGAAAUGCCUAUACUGCCCUCCUCACUCACUUCCGGUGGCAGGGCUUGCUCGGCGAGCAAUAAGUUCGUAGCCGCCCUCUGAGGCCGAGCGUGCAUAGGAUGGCAGAGUUUGCGUGCGCGCGCGUGGAUACGCCAGUGUGACCUAUAAAUGGUGGAAAAACUUGAAUUUCUACAGCGAAGUGCCACGCACGCUUGCUGUACCUGGGGCCAUCCCGGAAGGUUUAAGGUAAUGAGCAGGUAAAGAGCAAGUUGUGGUUGAACCCUUCACCCAGGAAGUGUGCCAUAUAUCCCUGCAUCGUGUCCAGUAGGGUAACAGAGAGAUUUUAUUUAGGAAGAACAAAGAGAAAGUUUAGAGCACUUGCAAGGAGAGUUGGAAGUGGGUCUCCCUCAUGAAGGAGAAAAGCUAUACGCAGCAACCAAGGAGAGGAUCUGAGAGACAACAUCAAAGCCGGGAG